AUUCUUGACAUGAGCAAAGAAAGAUGAUGUGAGUGCAGGGGCAUGGGUGGAUGGCCCUGCCAAAGCAUGGCCCCUGUGGACAGGACACAGCUCUCCCAGGAUCUGGGGAAGACGCAUAUGGUACAGAUACCUGGACAUACAGAAAAACUGGGUACCUGGGGCUAGGACUCCACCAUCUCUUUCUGUGCAACGGAAGGGAGACAGCAACAUGAAGCAGAUUUGAAAACUAUUAAGAGACUACGUGAAUGCUUCUAAAAG
rnacentral:lncRNA from 1 species